rnacentral:rRNA from 1 species
UACGAAGGGGGGCUAGCGUUGCUCGGAAUCACUGGGCGUAAAGGGCGCGUAGGCGGAUAGUUUAGUCAGAGGUGAAAGCCCAGGGCUCAACCUUGGAAUUGCCUUUGAUACUGGCUGUCUUGAGUACGGGAGAGGUGAGUGGAACUCCGAGUGUAGAGGUGAAAUUCGUAGAUAUUCGGAAGAACACCAGUGGCGAAGGCGACUCACUGGCCCGUUACUGACGCUGAGGCGCGAAAGCGUGGGUAGCAAACAGG